GAUGUUAUCUGCUCUGGUGGCAGUAUGGGGGAUUGAUGGCAGUUUACAAAAUGAAGAAACUCGGACUGAGAAAGAGGUGGGCAGAGGUGGAGACAGGAACAUUUCCUUCUGCACAGCACUUAGACCAGAGAGAUGAACUUGUGAUCAGGUGAAAAAAUGCAACAAGCAGGACUGGCCAUGCGAGCAAAGCACAUCCUGAAUUAUUGAAAGGCAACCAUGUGGCUGCCACCCGAGCAAACACAGACGAGCCGUGAGAGAGGAAGCCAGAGGAGCAGCAUCUAUGGUUUUCUGUCUUUCAGCCCAGGUGCCUUUCAUUUGUUUCCAUGUUUAUGAGUGGCUUAAUAAAAGAGAUUGUUAAUG